UACGUAGGGAGCAAGCGUUGUCCGGAAUCAUUGGGCGUAAAGCGCGCGUAGGCGGCCUCAUAAGUCCGCUGUGAAAGUCAAAGGCUCAACCUUUGAAAGCCGGUGGAUACUGUGGGGCUAGAGUACGGAAGAGGCGAGUGGAAUUCCUGGUGUAGCGGUGGAAUGCGCAGAUAUCAGGAGGAACACCAAUAGCGAAGGCAGCUCGCUGGGACGUUACUGACGCUGAGGCGCGAAAGCGUGGGGAGCGAACAGG
rnacentral:rRNA from 1 species